AGGUUCUGAUAAAAGACAGUCUGUGUCCCAGUCAAUAGUGCUGGGAAAAAAGGAUCGAAGAGAGUCCAAGUAGUGGAUUCAGUAUUUAUUAGCCUUGUUUUCUCUAUAACGAAAUGAUGCUUCUGCCUUACUUUCUCUCCAAUGCCUCCUAGAUCAGAACAAGGUUGAGGAGGGAGUAAUACAUAUGAGGGAGACUUAGAAUGAUUUAUUUAUGAGCAUGUAAUGUGACCCUGCCAUUCUUGUGAUUAUAUACGCCACAUAAAAAAUUUACUGGUUGUUUUUAUUUUUCCCUGUAGAAAAGAGAGAGCCAAAGAGGCAAGCUCCAA
rnacentral:lncRNA from 1 species